UACACUCCUACGGGAGGCAGCAGUGGGGAAUUUUGGACAAUGGGCGAAAGCCUGAUCCAGCCAUGCCGCGUGCAGGAUGAAGGCCUUCGGGUUGUAAACUGCUUUUGUACGGAACGAAACGGCCUUUUCUAAUAAAGAGGGCUAAUGACGGUACCGUAAGAAUAAGCACCGGCUAACUACGUGCCAGCAGCCGCGGUAAUACGUAGGGUGCAAGCGUUAAUCGGAAUUACUGGGCGUAAAGCGUGCGCAGGCGGUUAUGUAAGACAGUUGUGAAAUCCCCGGGCUCAACCUGGGAACUGCAUCUGUGACUGCAUAGCUAGAGUACGGUAGGGGGGGAUGGAAUUCCGCGUGUAGCAGUGAAAUGCGUAGAUAUGCGGAGGAACACCGAUGGCGAAGGCAAUCCCCUGGACCUGUACUGACGCUCAUGCACGAAAGCGUGGGGAGCAAACAGGAUUAGAAACCCGGGUAGUCCCAUG
rnacentral:rRNA from 1 species